AUGACGUUGCCGAAUCGAGUGAUAUAUACCUGGACUCUGGCAUAUUCCCUCUAAUUAGUCUCUCCUAAUGGAAGACGCGUUAACGAGCUCCUGUUUACACUGGCGUCGUCUCAUUGUCCUCCCUAACGAAUCCUGCUGGCCGAGCAGGUCCAGACAAUCGACUGGCAAAACAACGCCGGUCGAAGCUCUCGGACGGAGGCUGCAGUGCUGGAGAUUCGGCAACAAUUGGCCCACAUCGAAAUCAAGAGCAGAAGAAAUCAGCAGCUAGAAAUUCUUACUGAAAAGAUCGUGGCUCCCUUUUUGCAGUGAAAAUCAAAAAGCUCAGCCGAGACUCGUUGGACUGUUUUUUUUUUUUUCAAGAAAUAUGCAGCCAGUGGGCGGUCUAAGCUCAGACGGGACAGCGAACUAAGAGGCGUCCGUUUGCUACUUCAGCCCAAUGACGAUUCCCUGAUUCGUAUGCUCCUGCUCCACCGAGGCGCCCCGCCUGCUGGACUUGGGUUGGACUCUUCAUUCUCGUGCAUCUUGCACCAGGAGGCAGCCUAGGAUCUCGGGCAACUCCUCCGAUGCGGGUCCCUUCGGUCACGUCUCCUCAGAACCUGGCAACCUAGCCGCCGCAGCUUCUUCUUUGCCGUGGGCAAUAGUAGCAACAGCAACGCAAGCGGAAGCAGGGGCAACUUCAUCAGGGGAAGCGGAAGAAGUUCCUUCUAGCGGAGGAGCCCAUUCGGACUUGUGGGACGAGGCAGAAAUGCAUAAGCAGAUUGUGCGAGUGAAAAUCCAAAGUGAUUCUCCAAGAUACUCGAAGAUUCUCCGAGGACGUGAGGACGAACUUCCGCAGGCGUCACGUGGGCGCCAGCCUUCGGUGGUAAACAGGCUGGGAAUCUCGUCUAAAGAAAUUAGAUAGGUUAAGGCUGCUCAGCACGCACCCUGCGGCUUCAGCGAAAGGCUAGCAUUUCAUUUGAGCAGGAACUUCUGCCGAGCGCCAAGUGCACCUUAUCUCUUGGUUGGAGUCGCCAAUUACAGGGCGGUAGCCAGUCACCAUUGUGAACUCAAAAUUUAGGUUUCACGAGAGGCUACCUCUGUAGGGAGAGACGAAUAGAGAGAGAGAUGGAGAAAGCUACGAUACACGAGCCGAAAGAUAUUGGGGAGGGGUGUUAUUUACUUUUUUCUUGCGAUUCCAUUAAAUUUUCAUCGGCAAUGAUUAGAGUUAUCGGCAGAGUAAGAGAGUCUUCCGAGCCUUUCCUAAUUAUUAUUUCGUUCGUCGAGUUUCCUAUUUCGUAUUUUCACGCAAAGGAAACGCUCGGUUUAUUAACGUAGUACAGUCCGAAGCCAAUCGCCAGCUUCAUUUUAUACUUGACCUUUGGUCCUCUUUAUCCAUUUGGGAACCUUGGACUUUUCACCAAUGAGAAUUCAAUGGCAACCGCAGGAGGCAGGAGGACGUUUCAUAAGUUUAUGGAAUUGUCUGGUGAAGCUGCAAGCUCUUGGGGAGGAAGCCCCGAACCACACCUUCGAGACACUAGGACGGGGGACUUUACACGAUUGAUCGUAGGUCCAGUUCUGUCUUAAGCGUAGCAGGUAUAUAGUAUACUAGUCAGUAGCCCAAUUAGCACUUGACCAUAUCUCGGGUGACUGUACGUCUGCAGACAGCGUGCACAGGCAUGUGCACAUGAGAAAGUGCGAGCCUAAAUGUUGAGAGAAUGACUCUUUUUUGUAAAUACAGAAUUAAACAGUCGAGAGACAGUGGCAGAUGACGACCAUGACGUUUUGUCAACAACUGAAGAUGCAGGAUGAUGAUGCCGAGUCUCUCUUCUCUUUCGAUAAUGGAUCAGCGAAUGAACUUCCGAACGAGAGUGCAGAAUGCGAUAGAUACUUACUGGCAAUCCUCGGAUUCAGCCCUCGAUUCGGAUAAAGAGGAGGAUUAGCAGUGGACUUGUAAAAUGGACGAGUGGAGGAGAAGGAGCGCGCGUGCAACACAGGGUAGAUAAUAGGGACCAUCGAGAGAGACUGCGUAGAAAACGGCUUCGAAUUUAUUUCAUGAAUAUUUCAGCGGGGAACCUUCGUAAUAAAUAGCGAGCUGCAGAAUUAUAUUCCUGAAGUGAGCCAGCGCUCGGCUAACCGACUUUGACUCUGACUCCCGUGCCAGGUUUCUUCGAGUAGUCGUGUACUCGUGUACUCUCGUAGCCUCCUGGCCCUCCCACGCAGCGACACAGCGACGCAGCAACUUACCCGACGGAACGGCUGAGCGCGGAAUACUAAUUGACUCGCAAACGACCAAGCAUACUUCGCACAAUGCAUUCGCCUCCCUGCUCUCCUUCGCAUUCCUUCGCAUUCCUUCGCAUUCAAUACUUCCCAUUGAUCGGAUGAAAUUCGCGCUCCUUCGCUUCUCCUACUAUACCGGUAGGCGUUGAUACCUGCCGACUCGGGCGCCAGGAGAAAGAGAGAGAGAGGAGCCCCACGCUGAUCGAUAGGCAGGACAAAGAGGGAGAAGGGACGAACGGCUAAACUCGAGGAGAGGCGCGCGUUUCUCUUUAUCCGUCUAAGGAGGAAGAGGAGAAGGAUAAGAAGAAAGGAAGAAACGGAAAAACAUGAUCACUCUGAUCUCUUGGGCUUCCUUAUUCCGCGACUCGUCUUCACCUUCAGAAACCGUUACGGGGAGGCACUUGGCGACAAACGACUGCCUCGUAAUGAGCAAGAAAGCGAUCGUCCUUUGAGCUUCGAGAGGCUGCGUCAAGGCGAGUCCGACAUUGAGAUUCGCAACACGAUUUACGUCCCUCGAAGACUUUUCCUUUUUCCUUCUCGAAAAAAAAUCAUAGAGCCAAAACAAUAUCGCGUUGACUCUUGGAAGGAUUGUACUUGGAAGUAGCACUCUGAGGACGUGAACGGACCCAGUCGACUGGGGUAGCAUCGUAACGACGAGAAGGAAGCGACUGGUGCGCGAGUGAGCGAAGGAGCAAAUAGGCAAAAGCAGUGAAGCGCGCAAGCAGUAAGCAGGCGAGCAAGCAAGCACGUAAGCAAAUAAGCAGGAAAGGCUAUACAAAGGGUAUAUCGGUAUAUCGGUCCAUCGGUGGAUCGGUAUGUCGGUAUAACGAUAUAUAGGAAUGGCGAGCCACCUGUUACUCUUGUACCUUCAAACUCUGCGAUCGACCGAAGCAACUAGGAGACGAGAGAAUCUGGAGCCGCCGCUGCGGCUGCUAGACUCGAGCAGCCAGGAAGGACGUGACGCACCAGUCGAGUUCGAGUGUUGCUCGAGUCGAGAAGGAGCCAGCGACAGCUAGAGGAGCACAUGUCACUAGAUAUAGAUAUGGGUACGUAGCUAAGGAAUUCGCCGGCAUGUAUUUCUUUUUGAUACAGAGCGAUCGCUUUAGCGGUGCGAUUUGCUUGGACGUUAAGGGAGACUCGGGUGCGAGCGACCCGACGCAACCCGACCCGAUGGUCACGAUAAGCUUCGAGGCUAUGUAAAUGAUAACGAUUCGAAUAAAAUGACGCGAUGACAAAUC